AGAGUUUGAUCAUGGCUCAGGAUGAACGCUAGCUACAGGCUUAACACAUGCAAGUCGAGGGGCAGCAUGAACUUAGCUUGCUAAGUUUGAUGGCGACCGGCGCACGGGUGAGUAACACGUAUCCAACCUGCCGAUGACUCGGGGAUAGCCUUUCGAAAGAAAGAUUAAUACCCGAUGGCAUAGUUCUUCCGCAUGGUAGAACUAUUAAAGAAUUUCGGUCAUCGAUGGGGAUGCGUUCCAUUAGGUUGUUGGCGGGGUAACGGCCCACCAAGCCUUCGAUGGAUAGGGGUUCUGAGAGGAAGGUCCCCCACAUUGGAACUGAGACACGGUCCAAACUCCUACGGGAGGCAGCAGUGAGGAAUAUUGGUCAAUGGACGAGAGUCUGAACCAGCCAAGUAGCGUGAAGGAUGACUGCCCUAUGGGUUGUAAACUUCUUUUAUACGGGAAUAAAGUGAGGCACGUGUGCCUUUUUGUAUGUACCGUAUGAAUAAGGAUCGGCUAACUCCGUGCCAGCAGCCGCGGUAAUACGGAGGAUCCGAGCGUUAUCCGGAUUUACUGGGUGUAAAGGGAGCGUAGACGGUGAUGCAAGUCUGAUGUGAAAGCCCGGAGCUCAACUCCGGGACUGCAUUGGAAACUGUGUUACUAGAGUGCAGGAGAGGUAAGCGGAAUUCCUAGUGUAGCGGUGAAAUGCGUAGAUAUUAGGAGGAACACCAGUGGCGAAGGCGGCUUACUGGACUGUAACUGACGUUGAGGCUCGAAAGCGUGGGGAGCAAACAGGAUUAGAUACCCUGGUAGUCCACGCCGUAAACGAUGAUUACUAGGUGUCGGUUGGCAAGGCCAAUCGGUGCCGCCGCAAACGCAAUAAGUAAUCCACCUGGGGAGUACGUUCGCAAGAAUGAAACUCAAAGGAAUUGACGGGGGCCCGCACAAGCAGCGGAGCAUGUGGUUUAAUUCGACGCAACGCGAAAAACCUUACCAAGACUUGACAUCGCGCGCUAUCCCUGGAAACAGGGAGUUCCUUCGGGACGCGUAGACAGGUGGUGCAUGGUUGUCGUCAGCUCGUGUCGUGAGAUGUUCGGUUAAGUCCGAUAACGAGCGCAACCCUCAUUACUAGUUGCCAAUAUUAAGUUAGGAACUCUAGUGAGACUGCCGUGGAUAACACGGAGGAAGGUGGGGAUGACGUCAAAUCAUCAUGCCCCUUACGUCUUGGGCUACACACGUGCUACAAUGGCUACUACAAAGAGCUGCAAACCCGCGAGGGCAAGCGAAUCUCAAAAAGGUAGUCUCAGUUCGGAUUGUGGGCUGCAACCCGCCCACAUGAAGUCGGAGUUGCUAGUAAUCCCGAAUCAGCAUGUCGGGGUGAAUGCGUUCCCGGGCCUUGCACACACCGCCCGU
rnacentral:rRNA from 1 species